UUGAAAGGGAAACGAUUGAAGUCAGUCGUACCGACGAGAAAUCAGCUCUUUGAGUGUGGACUUGUGGGCGUGCGUGAGCUUUACGGUCUCGCUGUUUGCAAUGUUUGUUCUUUUUGGGCGUACUUUUUCGUAUGGUAGGCCAACAUCAGUUUCGAAUACCAUAAAAUGACCGGCGGAAUGUAGCUUCGAUCUCGUAUUGAAGUGUUAUAGCCUCUGGUAGAUGUGGUGUUUGGGACUGAGGAUUGCAACGAAUAUCCUUUGGGCUAUCCGUCUGAUCUCUGAAAGUUGCUUAGGUGCCGAAAGCGUGCUUACGGUUAUUUAAGUUGACGGUCAAAAGGUUAGAACGUGAUUACAUUCGUUAAGGAUGUUGACGUA
rnacentral:rRNA from 1 species